UACGGGGGGGGCAAGCGUUGUUCGGAAUUACUGGGCGUAAAGGGCUCGUAGGUGGCCAACUAAGUCAGACGUGAAAUCCCUCGGCUUAACCGGGGAACUGCAUCUGAUACUGGAUGGCUUGAGUUUGGGAGAGGGACGCGGAAUUCCAGGUGUAGCGGUGAAAUGCGUAGAUAUCAGGAGGAACACCGAUGGCGUAGGCAGUCUACUGGCUCAUUCUUGACACUAAGGCACGAAAGCGUGGGGAGCAAACGGG
rnacentral:rRNA from 1 species